UUCAUUUACUGAAGAAACCAGAUUAUUUGUCCUGUCUCCCACAUUCUUCACUUUACUGACUGCAAUUUGACAUGUUUCCUUGUAUUCUGUAUUUCUUAUGAACUGAUUUAGAGGGCCCGUCAGAUUAAGGUGUGAUUUUUUUUUGGGGGGGGGCAGUACUUUAUGUGUCGUUAGGUACUUCCAAACCUCGUUAUCUUGUGACCUUAACUACCAUUGACGAUCACUGCCUAGAUACAGUAUCUCACUGGGGUUGCAGAACGGUGAUACUCUCAUUUAUUGGCUGAAAUAUUUCUACAUACUUCCAUUCAUCAGUAAUUUGGUUACCCUGAGGUUGUUUCUAUUAAAAGGGCAGGAUAAAUGCUUGAUUCUUUCCCUUCACUCACUAGUUAGUAUAUAAAAUAAGGAACUGGUUUAACAGUAUCCUCCAAAGGUGGUUUUGAGGGGGUUUAUUCUAGUAUCAUUAUGAAUUAAUGAAUUUUAAUAUAGUUUGUUCAAUUCAUUGGCAGUCCUUCUUAAAGAGAGUCUACUUGUCUUACCUUUGUGAUUUACAUUUUAAAAACAUUGGUUCUGCAGCUGGUGGAAAAUAGCUUAAAUGAACAAGAGCUGAUGGGAAGGCAAGUUAGUUUACUGUAGUGGUCUUGGAGAGAGACAGUGGUAAUCCAACAUACCUUCCACCAGGGUGAAGGCAGUAGUACAGCUGCUGAUGGAUCGAUUGGAUAUGAAGAGAGAGGAAAAAGGAGUAACUGAAACUAGAGGCUUGAGCAACUGCGUCUCCAACCUGGCUGCUCCUGAAAAACACUGGACACCUUAAAGGUCUGUCUGUCCUCUGCAUCAGCCCUCUACCUCGCCCGCUGCCGAAGAGAAAAGGGACUGGGAGAUUGCUGCUGUCUGAUCCACUGUGCCUUUGGAGCAAAGGACAGGGCACAGAGAAGGAAGGAGUUUGCUGCUGAUAAGGUGUGUGCUAAAUCUAAGCUGUGUGCCCUAGAAUGCAACGCUGCCUCCAAUCUCCUCUCAUCUUUCAGUCAAGUCACUUCCAACACUGUAAGUAAAAUAUAAGGUUCUUAAAUUUGUAUCAUCAAACAUGCAGCUUCUCCUAUUAUAGUAAUUCAUUUCUUCUUUCUUUGGAUUAAAAAAAAAAAUUCCCUUAAGGAAAAAAAUAAGACUGACUACCUAACCUGACUGAUAAAUUUAUAGUUUUAAAUGUGACUAAAAGAGUCAUCCAGGAUUCUGUGGCAACUACCGUGAGUUUGAUUAUUAACAAAAGUAGGAAAAAGAUGACUAAUUCUACAGAUAGAUGUAAGGGUGAAUUACUGAAGUUCCAAAAUCAAAUUCUGAUUCUAAACACAAAUAACAAAGAAUAUUUUCCAUUCAGGGAUUAAGAUGUCUUUAAAAGUUCAAACAAUUUUGGAGGCCAUCCAGCCCAACUUCCAUCCAGAUUAUCAUGCCUCUCACAUAUAAGUAGUCUUCUGAAUUAUAAAAAUUUAUAGUUUUUUUUUAAAACUACAUAAAUAAGAAUUAUCUAUAUAUAGAAAUAUCUAUUCAGCAAUUCCAUAAUUUAAAUAUUCAAAUCAAAUUGGGCAGAACUGGUUCCUUCUCACCCCCACAGACUGUAUUUACACACGAAUACAUCAAGUUACAUUUAAACAAAAAGAAUGGUACCACCUGACUAAGACAGAGAAAAUAGUGCUCUAAUGCAAUCCCCAAUUUUUUUCAUGAACAUAAAAUUGCAAGUCACUUAUGUGAAUUUUAUCUCAAUGACACUGUAAAACAAACAAA